rnacentral:rRNA from 1 species
AACGAACGCUGGCGGCGCGCUUAACACAUGCAAGUCGAACGAGAAGGCGUAGCAAUACGCUUGUACAGUGGCGAACGGGUGAGUAAUACGUGGGCGACCUACCCUCGAGUGGGGAAUAACCCGCCGAAAGGCGGGCUAAUGCCGCGUACGCUUCCAUCUUUAUGGAGGUGGAAGGAAAGCCGUGCCGUGGGCACGGCGCUCAAGGAUGGGCUCACGUCCUAUCAGCUUGUUGGUAGGGAACGGCCUACCAAGGCUCCGACGGGUAGCUGGUCUGAGAGGACGAUCAGCCACACUGGCACUGCGACACGGGCCAGACUCCUACGGGAGGCAGCAGUGAGGAAUAUUGCGCAAUGGGCGAAAGCCUGACGCAGCGACGCCGCGUGGGGGAGUGAAGGUCUUCGGAUUGUAAACCCCUUUCGGGAGGGAAGAUGGGACGGGCAACCGUUCGGACGGUACCUCC